GAUGAACGCUGGCGGCGUGCCUAAUACAUGCAAGUCGAGCGAAUGGAUUAAGAGCUUGCUCUUGUGAAGUUAGCGGCGGACGGGUGAGUAACACGUGGGUAACCUGCCCAUAAGACUGGGAUAACUCCGGGAAACCGGGGCUAAUACCGGAUAACAUUUUGAACCGCAUGGUUCGAAAUUGAAAGGCGGCUUCGGCUGUCACUUAUGGAUGGACCCGCGUCGCAUUAGCUAGUUGGUGAGGUAACGGCUCACCAAGGCAACGAUGCGUAGCCGACCUGAGAGGGUGAUCGGCCACACUGGGACUGAGACACGGCCCAGACUCCUACGGGAGGCAGCAGUAGGGAAUCUUCCGCAAUGGACGAAAGUCUGACGGAGCAACGCCGCGUGAGUGAUGAAGGCUUUCGGGUCGUAAAACUCUGUUGUUAGGGAAGAACAAGUGCUAGUUGAAUAAGCUGGCACCUUGACGGUACCUAACCAGAAAGCCACGGCUAACUACGUGCCAGCCGCCGCAGUAAAAC
rnacentral:rRNA from 1 species